GAAAUCAUGUAUGCAAAUUUCUUUUUCUUGACCAGGACCAAUGAAUGUAGCUGGUUUGCACCUUUGCAUGGAAAAUUGCAGAAAAUGUUUUAAAAACAUCCUGAAGUAUAAAAAAAGCACCUGUCACUGGCUGUUUUGACAGUCUGAGUCAGAAUGUAUGGUGAUAGUCUGUAAUCACAGGAACACUAGCUCAUGCCAAAUAGGUUGAGUGAGUUUUAAUUUUACACAUUUAUGCCCAUCUACAGCAUACAAAGAACAAUAACCCAUUCAGUGAGGAAAACAUAUUUGGACAGGUGUUUGGCAGAGAACUCCCACUACAUACAAGAAUUGCAAUAAACCCAUUCAGUGAUUACCAAAUUUUUUGGAGUAAUGCCCACCACAUCUUACUCUGUACCAGCUGAAAGCCAAAAAUACAGGAGUAGCAUACUGGAGGAUCUCUUAACACCUCAAAAUACUCCUUCAGAUAUACAUAAAAAAAUUCUCUACCGUCAGUUGUAUUUUGCAUAACUUUGGGAUGCUGCAUUGCAUACAAGAUAACAGCAAAUGAAAAUAGUGCUUUGUUUUCUCUGCUUAAUAAAUUCUCCAUCUCUGCUCAGUUGUCUGUCUACGGAAAAUAUCAUGAGAUGCAAUGAAAUAUUAGAGAAGAGUCUCUUUAGGCCGUGAGGAACUAAUUCCACACACAAAUGACGGGCUUAUGGAGCUCAGCUGUGGCUCUGACCAUGUGCUGGGUUUGAAAUUAGCAGUAAGAACCAAGUGUGCUUUUAUAAGGAUUUUUAAACAGGCUGGCUUUAAUUUCAUGAUAUCAGCAUAAGGUAGGUUUCAUUCAGUUGGAAGAAGAUCAGGUUAGCUUUCUGUAGCAAUAGGGCAUUGCCUUUCCUUCCGGAAUUUUUAAAUGAGAAAUGAAUCUGGAUGGUAAUUCUGAUUGUCUACAAUGAGCCUCUCUGAUAAGAACUACUGAUCUGUCAUCAAUUCCCAUCUAGAAGCCUAUCAAGGCUAACUUGGUAUCAAUUUUUUAAGGUAGAAGUGCUUGCUAGAGGAGGGAGGGGAAAAAAAUGUUGAGUUGAAUUAUUUUUCUCAAAUAAUUUCUUUUUUUUUUUUUUUCCAUGACCAUUUUGAAGAACACAUAAAGGGCUCAAGUUCUUCUUACCGUCCCUAGUCACUAACCUCACUUAUAUAGCUCUGGAGUAAGCAGAUGAAGAUAAUUAUAUUUCUCCUAGUGCUGCUGUUUUUUGGCUACUGCUUACCGGUGGUAGCUUGGAAGUUUUGAAUUAACUUCGAACUUUAGCUAGCUUUGUAUUUUGAAAUUGCUCUAUUGACUUGGUAAUGUUGACUGUUGCCAAAGGAGGAGAUAACAUGAUUUCUAAUGUUUAUGGAGGCAAGAAGUAUUCAGCUAUCAUAAAGAUUGAAACAUAGUGGGAUUUAGGGAUGAAUGAUGCGUAUGUGAAGUCUAAGUAACCUCAUCUCUCAUUGAAAGUAACAAGCACACUGUGAAAAGUAAACAUUGAAGAAAAAUGUCUCAACUGUGUGAACGCUGAGUUAACAGCAGAUUAGUCAGUGUUAACAGAACUGAACUGCUGCUUUAUGAAAACGCUGUGAAAACAUAGCUGCAUCAGCUAGUUAUACCAAGAAAAAUGUAUUCCUAAGUUAUUUCCUGCAUGACUCAAAGAUGAUAAUUCAUAACCUGAUACACUUCCUAACAGAAACUUAUCCUGAUCUGUAGCUCUCCCCUAGAGUUUAGGUAAUAAGGGUAACAAAGGACUCAGAUGUGACCACACAGUCUGUUCUUCACUGUGUUUGUGUUCCUUCUGCACUGGAUACUCAGAGAACCAAAUUUAGACUAAUAAAUUUGGCUUGAUUCUAGACUAUGAUAAUCAAGUCAUGGAAGAUUAAUUUUAUUUUCUUUUCUGAUAAGUGAGGCAAAAUUUACACUAUGAGAAGCCAAUUUCUGAUCUCAUUAGUUGCGUGUCAGUCUGUAGUGGUCCCAUGACUUCAAAGCUCUGCUUCUCUUUUUAAUGCCAAUGCUCCAUCUGUUCACCCCUGCUCUCACAUUAUUAUUGUGUCUUCUGCUUCAUACCUCAGUGCCUUUUUAGAUGAAUGUCCUGUGCCUGGACUAGCCUUACAUUUUGUAUGUCAAGCUUGUAAAACCUGUUAUUGAAAGAACAUAUCAAAAUGUAUUUCUUAUACCUCAGUUCUCAUUGCAUAUUUUUAUUUCAUAAUCAAAAUUCUGACUUCACUGAAAAUAAUUGGAAAACUCCCCUUGGCUUCCUGAUGGACAGGAUUCACUGUCUGUGUCUGGAUUUGUCUAAGAGAGAUUGAAAAGUAUUUGGGGCAGAGAGUUGGAUAGACUUCCAGCUCCUAUGGUAGUAUAUUGGACAGAUUUAUAAUAUUUUAGAGUGCUUAGCUCUUCAAAAGAGAUUUCUCUACUUCUGUUAAAUGAAAGCUAAGUCCCUCUCAGGCUGAGACUUUUUUGUUUGCCAGGCAUUUUAUAAAUGUGGAUUUCCACUCUCCAAAUGAUGCUGCAGAACUCCAUUUUCAUUAUUAAUAACAUUUAUACUGAUUCACUCUACCUGCUGUCAGCAGUGUAGCUAAGGUCUCUGUAUCAAGAACUGCGUCAUACUAGAUUUCCUCUAAGGAGGCAAGCCUGCUUCUCUCUGGUCUGUAUUGCCUCCAGAUGUGCUGCUGUUGUUAUGUGUGGCUACAUGAGUGUAUCCAGCUCCCUCUGUGUGCCUUCUGUGUACAGGCCACCUGAUGCUCAGGAAUAGCCACAGUGCUCAAGUCCCAUCACAGUCAGUUUGUUGACCUUGUGCAAGCAACAGUUCUGGACUGAGGCUGUGUGUCAGACUUGUCUCUUACCUCUGUUCUAUUAUCUACCCAUCUUUUUUUGAUGUACAGGCCAAAAAGCAACUUUUUAAUUUAAUUAAUAGCUAUAAUGAGUAUCAGGGGGUGCAAACACAAUUCUGAAGAGGUUAUACCAUCUGAGUGUUAAUGCUUUGAGUUUGCUUUGCAUCCAUUUAUGAACUCUGGAUUUAAAAGCAAUACAUAGUUGAUUCUGGCAUACCCUUCUGGUAUGUACAGGCAAUUGAAGCAUGGAGUAAGGCAGCCACAAUGCCAUCAGGUUUUGGUGUGUUUUCCAGAAUUCUGGUUGAAACAAACAGAGUAGGAAAGAAGCAGGUGUUUUAUAUAACAAAGAACAAUGUGUAUCAGCACUAUAUAGUUCUUUGGACUGUGUCCCAUUUAGCCCAGAGCUUCAAUUUCAAGAUAAUGCAGAAAAUACCUAAUAAUCAGGAAAGGUAAUAGUUAGGUACAUAAUUUUGAUGAGUGAAAAAUGAAAAACCUCUAUGGAAGCAACAAGGAGGUUCAACAGAGCAGCAGUAAUACAGACUCUAACUGUUAUUUCUAUAGCACAAGGUGUUGAUAUUUUUAUUCACUGCUUUAAAUAUCCUGUCCAACGUGGUGUCAGCAAGAAUUACAACACUUUCUGUCCUGUUCAGUAGCAACGUGAAUAGACUAAAACUGUAGCAAAGAUCUUUGGAAGACCAGUACUCUCUUUUCAAGUAGCAGCACAUACAAAAUGAUGGAAUGAUCACCAGUAAGAAGUAAGCAGUAAUUAUGUUGAAUGGGUAUGUAGUGCUUGGUUUCCAGCUGUUCUUCUAAAAGCUCAAAAGAUGGUCUAAGUAAUUUCACUGCAAGCACGAGGAAAGAAUGAUCAAAAACUUCCGUCUGUCAUUUUACUCAUUGCUGCAGUUCUACAGUUGUGCCUGGCAUUGUUGUUGCUUGAAGUCUGCUGCCUGCAUUUGGAUGGUAAAUCGGGCUACUUUCUAGCCAAGAGCUUGUGAAGUGAGCUGCAGAGGAAGUACAAUGAAGUUGCAAGUCGUGGCAUGCUUAUUAGAAAUUUAUGAGUCAUAAUGUACUCAGUAUGAUGGACAAACCAUUCAGAGAUAUCUUAGUUACUAAUAAAAUAUUUGCUCGAAGAAAGAAUGCAAAACCUACCUGUACUGUUCUCAGCUUUCCAGCCAAACCACACUUGGAAUAAAAACAUGAGUUUUGUUCUUGGUUUCUUCCAGUCUCAUUCAGUGAGAACAACACCAACAAAUGGCUUCAUAUUUCUGGGGGGAAACCAAAUAUGUAGAUCUGUGUCAUUAGCCAGCAGGUGCCAUGAACACAGGGAAAGAACUCUAAGAAGCUAGUUCAUAAGGAAAAGUUUCUUGUGCUUCACCAUCAGAUGUACUGGACUGUUUCCUGAAGCACUACCUUUCAUAGAGUAUCCACUCAGAGGGACAUGAAUGGACCUGCUGAUGGUCCCAUGCCAUUCAGAGGGAUCUCAACAGACUCGAAAGGUGGGCCCAGGUGAAUCUAAUGAGGUUCAACACAGCAAAGUGCAAGGUUUUGCACUUGCACCAGAGGAAUGCCAGGUGCGUGUGCAGACUGGGAGGAGCAAUCCUUGAGAGUAGGCCUGCAGAGAAGGACCUGGGGGUUCUGGUGGAUGAAAAACUGAA